rnacentral:rRNA from 1 species
UGGGCGGGACGGGGUGAGUAAUGUCUGGGAAACUGCCCGAUGGAGGGGGAUAACUACUGGAAACGGUAGCUAAUACCGCAUAACGUCGCAAGACCAAAGAGGGGGACCUUCGGGCCUCUUGCCAUCGGAUGUGCCCAGAUGGGAUUAGCUAGUAGGUGGGGUAACGGCUCACCUAGGCGACGAUCCCUAGCUGGUCUGAGAGGAUGACCAGCCACACUGGAACUGAGACACGGUCCAG